GAGAGGCCCAAACGUUAUUCGGAUUUACUGGGCUUAAAGAGUUCGUAGGCGGCGCGGAAAGUGGGGUGUGAAAGCCCUCGGCUCAACCGAGGAAUUGCGCUCCAAACUACCGUGCUUGAGGAAGCUAGAGGUGAGCAGAACAGAUGGUGGAGCGGUGAAAUGCGUUGAUAUCAUCUGGAAUACCGGAGGCGAAGGCGGCUCACUGGGGCUUUUCUGACGCUGAGGAACGAAAGCCAGGGUAGCGAACGGGAUUAGAUACCCCGGUAGUCCUGGCCGUAAACGAUGAGCACUGGGCCGGAGGACUGCACAGUUUUCCGGCCGUAGCGAAAGUGUUAAGUGCUCCGCCUGGGGAGUAUGGUCGCAAGGCUG
rnacentral:rRNA from 1 species